CCUACGGGAGGCUGCAGUGAGGAAUAUUGGUCAAUGGACGGAAGUCUGAACCAGCCAUGCCGCGUGCAGGAAGACGGCUCUAUGAGUUGUAAACUGCUUUUGUACAAGGGUAAACCUGAAUACGUGUAUUCAGCUGAAAGUACUGUACGAAUAAGGAUCGGCUAACUCCGUGCCAGCAGCCGCGGUAAUACGGAGGAUCCAAGCGUUAUCCGGAUUUAUUGGGUUUAAAGGGUGCGUAGGCGGAUUGAUAAGUUAGAGGUGAAAUGUCCGAGCUUAACUCGGGAACUGCCUCUAAUACUGUUGAUCUAGAGAGUAGAUGCGGUAGGCGGAAUGUAUGGUGUAGCGGGGAAAUGCUUAGAGAUCAUACAGAACACCGAUUGCGAAGGCAGCUUACCAAUCUAUAUCUGACGUUGAGGCACGAAAGCGUGGGGAGCAAACAGGAUUAGAUACCCGGGUAGUC
rnacentral:rRNA from 1 species